rnacentral:lncRNA from 1 species
AGGUUUGUGAUCCCAUACACAGGUAGGUUUCUUAGGCCCCAUGUAGUAUUUAGAGUUAAUUUCUCGGUAAAAUCAUAUGAGAUUCUUAAUUCGGUUUUCCUACAAAUUCUAAUUUGAGUGGGAAAUUGAUUUCCCGGUAAAUUCAUCCGUGGUAAACCCCUAUCAUCAAUUUGUUGCCUUUUCUCAUUCAGGAACAAAUUUCUCUUCGAUUUCUUUCUCUACUUACUAGACUCCUGUUAAUUCCAAAGAAGGAUAGAGCUAUCAUACGUCGGUUUCUCCAUAUCAUGAUUCCCCAUUUAGUCUGCAUUGACCACUCAUGCAUUAAGUAGACGGAUCCUAUAAAUCAAACAUUGUUGUCCAUAUACAACUUAAAGCAUCCCAUAUUAAAAGGAGUUUUGAAUUGGAAGAAUUUUUCUAAGAGAUUCCACCU